rnacentral:rRNA from 1 species
AGUGAACGCUGGCGGCAUGCCUUACACAUGCAAGUCGAACGGCAGCAUAGUAAAGCCUUCUUGUUUCAGGUGGCGUGUCGAGGGGGUGAGUGGUAUACCUCAGAAUGUACUUUUGUGUGGGGGAUAUAGUAGGGAGACUAACGCUUAUACCACAUACGCUCUAGGUGUGAAAGCGGGGGAGCUUCGCAUCUUGCUCUAUUGGAUGACCAGAUGUCGGAUUAGCUAGUUGGCGGGGUAAAGGCCCACCAAGGCGACGAUCAGUAGCUGGUCUGAGAGGAUGAUCAGCCACACUGGAACUGAGACACGGCCCAGACUCCUACGGGAGGCAGCAGUGGGGAAUUUUGGACAAUGGGCGAAAGCCUGAUCCAGCAAUGCCGCGUGGGUGAAGAAGGCCUUCGGGUUGUAAAGCCCUUUUGUUGGGAAAGAAAAGCAGCAGGUUAAUACCCCGCUUUUCUGACGGUACCCAAAGAAUAAGCACCGGCUAACUUCGUG